rnacentral:lncRNA from 1 species
AGGGGAUAUUUCUAAAAACUACUUUGCUACGGCGGCUCGUGUUUUGGUUGGAGAGCUAAGGUUGUGAGUUCGUUAAGAAGAAGUUAGGGAUUAGGGAAUAUUUACUACUAUCAAAAAUUUAAACAAGGGUACUUACAGAUAUCCUGGGGUGUUAAAUAUAAAUCCUGGCUAUAUUUUGUUAGGGCGCCUUACCAGGAGUUUUACUUUCUAUGAUCAUCCAACAUCUUAAAAUUUGACUCUAAAAAGCUUUUAAAGUUUGUGGUUAAAAUUUUGCCAAUAGGUUAGCGGUAAAUAAACAGGACAAAAUACACAGUUAUGGCAUUUAUUGAAAAAUUAUUCCUUGAGAUAACAUAACUUUCAGAUUACAUAAAAGAUUACCUGUAAAAAAAAAAUUACAUCUACUUUUCUGAACAUAGGUUAUGGUGCACCAACAGAUAAACAAUAAUAUUAUUGCAUUGAGGAUUUGAUAUCUGACUUAAUUAUGACUUGUAUAACUGACUGACUGACCUAAUUAUGACAUAUAUUAUAGCAUUUGCAUUAAAACAAAAAUUUAUAUUCAUUCAGGGAACAAUGUUUACAUUAAAGAAUUCCUGACUACUCCUCGUAGUACUUAAUUAUUGAAAAUAACAACUAUGUCACCUGUCAAAUAUCAUUCCGUAAAUCUUUUAUUUUUAACUAUUUCAAAAGGUUUCAAAAAGGAUUUUAACAUUAACUUACAAUUAUGUCUUUACAAUAAUAUUUUAAUGAUGGAAGCAAAAUUAUUCUUUGUUCUGUUCAACAAUUUACUUUUUCAUUUUUGUAUUUUAAGUUCCAAAAAGAUUUAUUUUUUUUUAUGUUGAAAGAAAUUAACGUUAUUAGUUUGAGAAUUUUAUAAUUAUUAAAAGUCACUAUACCUUAAAAUUCAAAACUUCACCAUUGUGAAACUUGACAUGACACUUGACAGCACGUACGUAGUUCAUACGUCACUCGAAGGGGAAAAUGUCAAUGGAAAAUUACUGAUUGCACCAUAUACCAUUAUACCAUGAAAAUACCAUAAAACAAAAGAAAUUUGCUUAUUUACCUCGGGAAAUAGGUUUUCUAAUCCAGGAGACGGGAGGCUUGGGUUUAAUUCAUCACUACGAUAUUAGUACUAUGCCGGCUUUCAUAAAUACAUACGCAGUAUUUUUACAAAGCGUAUAUUACACUUUUACCAUCAAAAAA